AGAGUUUGAUCCUGGCUCAGAACGAACGCUGGCGGCAGGCUUAACACAUGCAAGUCGAGCGCCCCGCAAGGGGAGCGGCAGACGGGUGAGUAACGCGUGGGAACGUACCCCCCGGUUCGGAAUAACUCAGGGAAACUUGAGCUAAUACCGGAUACGGCGACCAAGAGAGAUCUUGGAGGCGAAAGAUUUAUCGCCGGGGGAUCGGCCCGCGUCCGAUUAGCUAGUUGGUGUGGUAAUGGCGCACCAAGGCGACGAUCGGUAGCUGGUCUGAGAGGAUGAUCAGCCACAUUGGGACUGAGACACGGCCCAAACUCCUACGGGAGGCAGCAGUGGGGAAUAUUGGACAAUGGGCGAAAGCCUGAUCCAGCCAUGCCGCGUGAGUGAUGAAGGCCUUAGGGUUGUAAA
rnacentral:rRNA from 1 species